GCCCUUGCGUAAGCAAGGGAGUGGCGGACGGGUGAGGAACACGUGGGUCAUCUGCCCAGAGGUGAGGAAUACCGGCGAGAAAUCGCCGACAAUACCGCAUACGUUUCGCAAGAAACAAAGUCGCAAGACGCCUUUGGAUGAGCCUGCGUCCGAUUAGCUGGUUGGUGGGGUAAAAGCCUACCAAGGCAACGAUCGGUAGCUGGUCUGAGAGGACGAUCAGCCACACUGGGAUUGAGAACGGCCCAGACUCCUACGGGAGGCAGCAGUGAGGAAUUUUCGGCAAUGGGCGCAAGCCUGAUCCAGCAAUGCCGCGUGAGUGAUGAAGGCCUUAGGG
rnacentral:rRNA from 1 species